GGAUGCGACCAUACCAGCACUAAAGCACCGCAUCCGAUCAGAACUCUGGAGUUACGCGUGCUUGGGCGAGAAUAGUACUAGGAUGGGUGACCUCCUGGGAAGUCCUCGUGUUGCAUUCC
rnacentral:rRNA from 1 species